rnacentral:rRNA from 1 species
AUUGAACGCUGGCGGCAGGCCUAACACAUGCAAGUCGAGCGGAUGAAGGGAGCUUGCUCCUGGAUUCAGCGGCGGACGGGUGAGUAAUGCCUAGGAAUCUGCCUGGUAGUGGGGGAUAACGUCCGGAAACGGGCGCUAAUACCGCAUACGUCCUGAGGGAGAAAGUGGGGGAUCUUCGGACCUCACGCUAUCAGAUGAGCCUAGGUCGGAUUAGCUAGUUGGUGGGGUAAAGGCCUACCAAGGCGUCGAUCCGUAACUGGGCUGAGAGGAUGAUCAGUCACACUGGAACUGAGACACGGUCCAGACUCCUACGGGAGGCAGCAGUGGGGAAUAUUGGACAAUGGGCGAAAGCCUGAUCCAGCCAUGCCGCGUGUGUGAAGAAGGUCUUCGGAUUGUAAAGCACUUUAAGUUGGGAGGAAGGGCAGUAAGUUAAUACCUUGCUGUUUUGACGUUACCAACAGAAUAAGCACCGGCUAACUUCGUG